AUGUGGAAGGGUCACACUAACAGAAACUUCCAGAAGUAGGAUCUGGUUGUAUGUAUAACGGUGAAGGAGGUGGUGGUGAUAAGAACUCAUAGGGAGCAUGGGUAUAUUACUUUUAUUGGAUUUGAUGUACUUUGUACGAGUACUGUAAGUACACAAUCAUCGCUAUGGAGAGGGUUAGAGAAGGCGCUACAGGAGAGUAGUGGGGGACCAGAACCAGGAGACGGAAGUCUCUGCUGGACUUGGUCUUCCCACUAUCCAGCAACCUCCGUCUGGCUUAGAACUAAGUACAUAUUUUUAAACAAAAUAAAAAUUCAAUAAUAAUUACACGAAAUAAAAAAAAAAAA
rnacentral:sRNA from 1 species